rnacentral:rRNA from 1 species
GUCUGCGGCCACGCUACCCCGAACAAGCCCGAUGCCAUCUGAUCUGGAAGCUAAGCAGGGUCGGGCCUGGUUACUACUUGGAUGGGAGACCGCCUAGGAAGACCAGGCGCUGUGGGCU